UCGGGCAUGGUAUAAAGGUAUUACUGCGACUCUUUAUGGGUUGACGAUGCGGGUUCAAAUCCUGCUGCCCGGUCCA
rnacentral:tRNA from 1 species